GCCUACGGGGGGCAGCAGUGAGGAAUAUUGGCCAAUGGGCGCGAGCCUGAACCAGCCAAGUCGCGUGAGGGAAGACGGUCCUAUGGGUUGUAAACCUCUUUUGUCGGGGAGCAAAAGACGCCACGUGUGGCGUUCCGAGAGUACCCGAAGAAAAAGCAUCGGCUAACUCCGUGCCAGCAGCCGCGGUAAUACGGAGGAUGCGAGCGUUAUCCGGAUUUAUUGGGUUUAAAGGGUGCGCAGGCGGAAGAUCAAGUCAGCGGUAAAAUUGAGAGGCUCAACCUCUUCGAGCCGUUGAAACUGGUUUU
rnacentral:rRNA from 1 species